GCUUUCAUGGUGUAGUGGUCAGCCUGUUCGACGUGUAACCGAGAGGUCCGUGGUUCGAUUCCCGGCGAAGGCG
rnacentral:tRNA from 1 species